UUGAACGCUGGCGGCAGGCCUAACACAUGCAAGUCGAACGGUAACAGGAAGCAGCUUGCUGUUUCGCUGACGAGUGGCGGACGGGUGAGUAAUGUCUGGGAAACUGCCUGAUGGAGGGGGAUAACUACUGGAAACGGUAGCUAAUACCGCAUAACGUCGCAAGACCAAAGAGGGGGACCUUCGGGCCUCUUGCCAUCGGAUGUGCCCAGAUGGGAUUAGCUAGUAGGUGGGGUAACGGCUCACCUAGGCGACGAUCCCUAGCUGGUCUGAGAGGAUGACCAGCCACACUGGAACUGAGACACGGUCCAGACUCCUACGGGAGGCAGCAGUGGGGAAUAUUGCACAAUGGGCGCAAGCCUGAUGCAGCCAUGCCGCGUGUAUGAAGAAGGCCUUCGGGUUGUAAAGUACUUUCAGCGGGGAGGAAGGGAGUAAAGUUAAUACCUUUGCUCAUUGACGUUACCCGCAGAAGAAGCACCGGCUAACUCCGUGCCAGCAGCCGCGGUAAUACGGAGGGUGCAAGCGUUAAUCGGAAUUACUGGGCGUAAAGCGCACGCAGGCGGUUUGUUAAGUCAGAUGUGAAAUCCCCGGGCUCAACCUGGGAACUGCAUCUGAUACUGGCAAGCUUGAGUCUCGUAGAGGGGGGUAGAAUUCCAGGUGUAGCGGUGAAAUGCGUAGAGAUCUGGAGGAAUACCGGUGGCGAAGGCGGCCCCCUGGACGAAGACUGACGCUCAGGUGCGAAAGCGUGGGGAGCAAACAGGAUUAGAUACCCUGGUAGUCCACGCCGUAAACGAUGUCGACUUGGAGGUUGUGCCCUUGAGGCGUGGCUUCCGGAGCUAACGCGUUAAGUCGACCGCCUGGGGAGUACGGCCGCAAGGUUAAAACUCAAAUGAAUUGACGGGGGCCCGCACAAGCGGUGGAGCAUGUGGUUUAAUUCGAUGCAACGCGAAGAACCUUACCUGGUCUUGACAUCCACGGAAGUUUUCAGAGAUGAGAAUGUGCCUUCAGGAACCGUGAGACAGGUGCUGCAUGGCUGUCGUCAGCUCGUGUUGUGAAAUGUUGGGUUAAGUCCCGCAACGAGCGCAACCCUUAUCCUUUGUUGCCAGCGGUCCGGCCGGGAACUCAAAGGAGACUGCCAGUGAUAAACUGGAGGAAGGUGAGGAUGACGUCAAGUCAUCAUGGCCCUUACGACCAGGGCUACACACGUGCUACAAUGGCGCAUACAAAGAGAAGCGACCUCGCGAGAGCAAGCGGACCUCAUAAAGUGCGUCGUAGUCCGGAUUGGAGUCUGCAACUCGACUCCAUGAAGUCGGAAUCGCUAGUAAUCGUGGAUCAGAAUGCCACGGUGAAUACGUUCCCGGGCCUUGUACACACCGCCCGUCACACCAUGGGAGUGGGUUGCAAAAGAAGUAGGUAGCUUAACCUUCGGGAGGGCGCUUACCACUUUGUGAUUCAUGACUGGGGUG
rnacentral:rRNA from 1 species